rnacentral:rRNA from 1 species
GCAACCCCAGGUUAGGCGGACCACCCGCC